AGUGAACGCUGGCGGUAGGCCUAACACAUGCAAGUCGAACGGCAGCACAGUAAGAGCUUGCUCUUACGGGUGGCGAGUGGCGGACAGGUGAGGAAUACAUCGGAAUCUACUUUUUCGUGGGGGAUAACGUAGGGAAACUUACGCUAAUACCGCAUACGACCUACGGUUGAAAGCAUGGUAUCUUCGGACCUUGCGCGAUUGAAUGAGCCGAUGUCGGAUUAGCUAGUUGGCGGGGUAAAGGCCCACCAAGGCGACGAUCCGUAGCUGGUCUGAGAGGAUGAUCAGCCACACUGGAACUGAGACACGGUCCAGACUCCUACGGGAGGCAGCAGUGGGGAAUAUUGGACAAUGGGCGCAAGCCUGAUCCAGCCAUACCGCGUGGGUGAAGAAGGCCUUCGGGUUGUAAAGCCCUUUUGUUGGGAAAGAAAAGCAGCAGGUUAAUACCCCGCUGUUCUGACGGUACCCAAAGAAUAAGCACCGGCUAACUUCGUG
rnacentral:rRNA from 1 species